rnacentral:rRNA from 1 species
ACUAGUGAUUCGGGGUGCAGCAGGCGCGAAACCUCCGCAAUGGGCGAAAGCCCGACGGGGUCAGUCCGAGUGGCUCCCGCUAAGGGAGUCUUUUGCCAGCUGUAAACAGGCUGGUGAAUAAGGGGUGGGCAAGCCUGGUGUCAGCCGCCGCGGUAAUACCAGCACCCCGAGUGGUCGGGAUGAUUAUUGGGCCUAAAGCAUCCGUAGCCGGUGUAACAAGUCCUCCGUUAAAUCCACCUGCUUAACAGGUGGGCUGCGGAGGAUACUGUUACACUAGGAGGCGGGAGAGGCGAGGGGUAUUCCACGGGUAGGGGUAAAAUCCUCUGAUCCGUGGAGGACCACCAGUGGCGAAGGCGCCUCGCCAGAACGCGCUCGACGGUGAGGGAUGAAAGCUGGGGGAGCAAACCGGAUUAGAUACCCGGGUAGUCCCAGCCGUAAACGAUGUAGGCUCGGUGAUGGACUGGCUCCGAGCCAGUCCAGUGCCGCAGGGAAGCCGUUAAGCCUACCGCCUGGGGAGUACGGCCGCAAGGCUGAAACUUAAAGGAAUUGGCGGGGGAGCACCACAAGGGGUGAAGCCUGCGGUUCAAUUGGAGUCAACGCCGGGAAUCUUACCAGGGGCGACAGCAGGAUGAAGGUCGGGCUGAAGACCUUACCAGACGAGCUGAGAGGAGGUGCAUGGCCGUCGCCAGCUCGUGCCGUGAGGUGUCCUGUUAAGUCAGGUAACGAGCGAGACCCUCGUCCCUAAUUGCUACCAUCAUUCUCAGGAAUGGUGGGGGGAAUUAGGGAGACUGCCGUUGUUAAAACGGAGGAAGGAGAGGGCCACGGCAGGUCAGUAUGCCCCGAAACCCUUGGGCCACACGCGGGCUGCAAUGGUAGGGACAACGGGUUCCAAGCUCGGAAGAGUGAGGUAAUCCUUUAAACCCUACCCCAGUUAUGAUUGAGGGCUGGAACUCGCCCUCAUGAAUCUGGAAUCCCUAGUAAUCGCGCGUCAACAUCGCGCGGUGAAUACGUCCGUGCUCCUUGCACGAAUUCGCCGAAUCCCGCG